UACGUAGGGGGCAAGCGUUGUCCGGAUUUAUUGGGCGUAAAGAGCGUGUAGGCGGCUAUGCAGGUCCGCUGUGAAAACUCGAGGCUCAACCUCGAGACGUCGGUGGAAACCGCAUGGCUAGAGUCCGGAAGAGGAGAGUGGAAUUCCCGGUGUAGCGGUGAAAUGCGCAGAUAUCGGGAAGAACACCCGUGGCGAAGGCGGCUCUCUGGGCCUUACCUGACGCUGAGAAGCGAAAGCGUGGGUAGCGAACAGG
rnacentral:rRNA from 1 species